GAAAAGUUCAAGGACUCACUCUAGUUCAAGCAAUAGAUGACUUCAUCUUGAAAUUUAAAGGCGACCAUUCAUUCAAUGGAAAGUGUUUAAAAAGAUGAAAAGUAAUACAAAAGAUAUUAAACUUUUUGGAAAACUUUCAGCAGAUUUGAAGAUCGGAAAGUACUGACGAAGAAGUGUCAAUUCCACCCAUAGAAAUCAGAAAUUUUUAUUUACGUUAGGCUUGAUGAAAUGAGCGCUAACCAACAUAGAUUUUCCAUUUCUAAUUCAGAACUUCCAAAUGUUCCACUGCAAGGUUUUUUACCGACAUUUUAUCACUGGAUAAGGAUGGAGAUUCUAUGAGAGAGAAUCUCAUCUUUAACAGUUUAGAUGGCUGCCCACUUUUCGCUAACGCCGGUAGACAUUAAUGAGGCUCUACAUGGAACGGCGCACUUAAUUGCAAUCAUAAGUACACGAUUUUGUAUCUAGAAAUCAUAAAAAAAACAACAAAGAUUAAGCGAAUUAUAGUUUCUCCCAGACCAUGAAAACAAACAACGAUAAAAAA